rnacentral:misc_RNA from 1 species
GUGAAUCAUCGAAUCUUUGAACGCAAAUUGCACUUCCUGGUAUUCCGGAGAGUAUGCCUGUUUGAGGGUCAGUUUAAAUAAAAAUCGGUGUGGUUGACGAAUUUUGUGGUGACGCACGGGUGGUGUGUCGUAUUGUUUUUGGUUAAGUGACUUAAAAUUUUGCUUGAUUUUUCUUGUAUGAAUGUAAAUAAUUUUUUGUUAUUUUGCGAUUCUUAAUGCUAAGUGUGUUUAUGAUGCUGUCA